AUUGAAAGCUGGCGGCAGGCCUAACACCUGCAAGUCGAACGAGUGGCGGACGGGUGCGUAAUGUCUGGGAAACUGCCUGAUGGAGGGGGAUAACUACUGGAAACGGUAGCUAAUACCGCAUACCAUCAGAUGUGCCCAUAUGGGAUUGGCUGGUGGGGGGGGUAACGGCUCACCAAGGCGACGAUCCCUAGCGGGUCUGAGAGGAUGACCAGCCACACUGUAACUGAGACACGGUCCAGACGCCUACGGGAGGCAGCAGUGGGGAAUAUUGCACAAUGGGAGCAAGCCUGAUUCAGCCAUGCCUCGUGUAUGAAGAAGGCCUUCGGGUUGUAAAGUACUUUCAGCGGUGAGGCGUUACCCGCAGAAUAAGCACCGGCUAACUCCGUGCCAGCAGCCGCGGUAAUUC
rnacentral:rRNA from 1 species